GCGGAGGAAAAGAAACCAACAGGGAUUGCCCUAGUAACGGCGAGUGAAGCGGCAACAGCUCAAAUUUGAAAUCUGGUCCCCCCGCGGGGGCCCGAGUUGUAAUUUGAAGAGGAUGCUUUUGGCGAGGCGCCUUCCGAGUGCCCUGGAACGGGACGCCACAGAGGGUGAGAGCCCCGUAUGGUUGGACGCCGAGCCUCUGUAAAGCUCCUUCGACGAGUCGAGUAGUUUGGGAAUGCUGCUCAAAAUGGGAGGUAAACCCCUUCUAAAGCUAAAUACUGGCCAGAGACCGAUAGCGCACAAGUAGAGUGAUCGAAAGAUGAAAAGCACUUUGAAAAGAGAGUUAAACAGCACGUGAAAUUGUUGAAAGGGAAGCGCUUGCGACCAGACUCGCGCCCGCCGGAUCAGCCGUCGCUCGUCGGCGGCGCACUCCGGCGGGCUCGGGCCAGCAUCGGUUCGCCCGGGGGGAGAAAGGCGGCGGGAACGUGGCUCUGCGGAGUGUUAUAGCCCGCCGCGUAAUACCCUAGGGCGGACCGAGGACCGCGCGUAUGCAAGGAUGCUGGCGUAAUGGUCGUCAGCGACCCGUCUUGAAACACGGACCAAGGAGUCGUCCUAGUAUGCGAGUGUUCGGGUGUCAAACCCCUGCGCGUAAUGAAAGUGAACGGAGGUGAGAGCUUCGGCGCAUCAUCGACCGAUCCUGAUGUUCUCGGAUGGAUUUGAGUAAGAGCAUACUGGGCCGGACCCGAAAGAAGGUGAACUAUGCCUGUAUAGGGUAAAGCCAGAGGAAACUCUGGUGGAGGCUCGCAGCGGUUCUGACGUGCAAAUCGAUCGUCAAAUAUGGGC
rnacentral:sRNA from 1 species